rnacentral:rRNA from 1 species
CCUACGGGAGGCAGCAGUGAGGAAUAUUGGUCAAUGGUCGGGCGACUGAACCAGCAAAGCCGCGUGAGGGAUGAAGGUACAGAGUAUCGUAAACCUCUUUUGUCAGGGAACAAAGGCGGGGACGUGUCCCCGGAUGAGUGUACCUGAAGAAAAAGCAUCGGUUAACUCCGUGCCAGCAGCCGCGGGAAUACGGAGGAUGCGAGCGUUAUCCGGAUUUAUGGGGUUUAAAGGGUGCGCAGGCGGUCUGUUAAGUCAGCGGUCAAAGCCCGGGGCUCAACCCCGGCCCGCCGUUGAAACUGGCAGUCUCGAGUUGGAGAGAAGUAUGCGGAAUGCGCGGUGUAGCGGUGAAAUGCAUAGAUAGCGCGCAGAACUCCGAUUGCGAAGGCAGCAUGCCGGCUCCACACUGACGCUGAGGCACGAAAGCGUGGGUAUCGAACAGGAUUAGAUACCCCAGUAGUC